AACGAACGCUGGCGGCAUGCCUAACACAUGCAAGUCGAACGAGCCCUUCGGGUCUAGUGGCGCACGGGUGCGUAACGCGUGGGAACCUGCCCUUAGGUUCGGCAUAACUCCCCGAAAGGGGUGCUAAUACCGGAUAAUGUCUUCGGACCAAAGAUUUCUCGACUUUGGAUGGGCCAGCGUUGGAUUAGCUGGUUGGUAGGGUAAAAGCCUACCAAGGCGACGAUCCAUAGCUGGUCUGAGAGGAUGAUCAGCAACACCGGGACUGAGACACGGCCCAGACUCCUACGGGAUGCAGGAGUGGGUAAUAUUGGACAGUGGGCUAAAGCCUGAUCCAGCAAUGCCGCGUGAGUGAUGAAGGCCUUAGAGUUGUAAAGCGCUAGUACCCGUGAUGAUAAUGACAGUACCGGGAGAAUAAGCUCCGGCUAACUCCGUG
rnacentral:rRNA from 1 species